CUAAUAAUGCGCAAUGCAUCACCUAUCUCAAAAGAGGCUCCCCAAACCCUCGGAUUUAUUAGGACUAACUGGCCGGUCUCUUACUCUCCAGACAAAAUUUCUACUUUUUCUCUCUCAAGUUGCAAAACAACUAUUUCUAAUGAUGGAUUAAAAACCUGAAGCUGCUAUUCCAUUAUGAACCUCUAUCUAGUAGCUACUGCAAACUGCUCAGCUCCUUUGCUUGAAACCUCCAGGAGGGCUCUGGUGAGUAAGAAAAGCAGAAGAAAAUUGCUUCCGGGAUUGCUGGGUAAGAACUGCCUCUGGUGCUCUCUGGAGCAUACUAUCUCUUUAUAAGAAGCAGACAAACCAGGAGUCAGGGGGGAGUUCACAUCAAAUCACCUUCAGAAGCUGUCAACAGUCCCAGAGAACUACCUUAGUGGACGGAAAGAAGGAUGCGGAAAAAGGAGAGAUGAUGCAGCCUUGCUUUACGUUUGCAAAUUGGAUAAAUAAGGAAAAUAUUUAAUUCUUUAAAAAAAUGUUAAAUAAAUGGGAGCUUUUCAACUUGA